UUAAACUUUGAGGAAGUAGUGUCUUGUUCAGUGUUCACGGUUUAUAUUGCUGAAGGACAAUUACAAGUCUAAACGGAGAAGAGUCGUCAUUUCAAGGUGUUUUCGCGGACGUAUUGGCAUGUGGAUGUUGACAGUGUCGGAAGUAUUAAUCAAAGUUGACACGAGAAGUUGGAGCGAAUGCGAGAAGAGCAUGCGAUGAGCUGCCUGCCUGCUGCUGCCUACUGCCUACUCCUGCUGCUGCCGCUGCUGCUGUUGCAUCCAAUGUUGGGUAGCCAGCCACCCAUGCAUGUUGACACAGCCAGCAGCGGGCACCCAUGGCACAUGGGGAUGGACCCAGGAGUGGAGGAUGACCCAAUAGGAUGAACGUUCAGCCCACUCACUGUUGACACCAGUGACACAGUAUUGACCAGAUCUCCUGGAAGUGCCCCCUGACGCAG